GAUAGGGAUAACUAAAUUACAGUAGCAGUAAGGUAGGAAACCAGAACCUGUUGCAAUUCACGGGAUGAUCCGUGGUGGUGGAGAUGAUGGCGGAAUUUGGCGACGAUCUUUUAAGCAAUUGUGGGAAUUGCUUUGGACAGUUGUGGAGGGUUGAUGGAUGGCUGUGGAAGGGCAGCGAGACACCAAGAACGCUGCUCUGAUACCAGGUGUUAGAACCCUUACAGAUUCUAAACUUAGGGUUGAUCUCUUUAGGGGAUCGGCCUCCUUGGAACUCUAUAGGGGUUCCUCCCUC
rnacentral:lncRNA from 1 species